GCACCACAACAGGUGGAGCCUGCGGUUUAAUCGGACUCGACGCCGGGAAGCUCACCGGAUAAGACAGCGGAAUGAUAGCCGGGCUGAAGACUCUGCUUGACUAGCUGAGAGGAGGUGCGUGGCCGUCGUCAGUUCGUACUGUGAAGCAUCCUGUUAAGUCAGGCAACGAGCGAGACCCACGCCAACAGUUGCCAGCAUGUCCUCCGGGAUGGUGGGGACACUGUUGGGACCGCCUCUGCUAAAGAGGAGGAAGGAAUGGGCAACGGUAGGUCAGCAUGCCCCGAAUUAUCCGGGCUACACGCGGGCUACAAUGGUCAGGACAAUGGGCAUCAACACCGAAAGGUGAAGGCAAUCUCUUAAACCUGUCCUUAGUUCGGAUUGUGGGCUGCAACUCGCCCACAUGAAGCUGGAAUCUGUAGUAAUCGCGUCUCAAAAUGGCGCGGUGAAUAUGUCCCUGCUCCUU
rnacentral:rRNA from 1 species